CAAUUUAACAAGGGCAUGUCCUUGUAGUUCAAUAACAAGGACACAGACAAAAUGGGUGUUUAAAGAUUUUGUUUCGUGAUAAAGAUAAUGGGACGGAGGAUGCUCUCUCUCUUUCUUUCUCGCGGUGGUCGCCGGCGUUAGUCGCCGGACGAUGUUCCGCCCUCCCUUCUGCCAUACCCAAACUCAAGCACUCCACAACACAAGCCAAUUACAGUUUUAUUCAUAUUCCCAAUUAGAGUCACCGAAAUUUCUCGAUUAGUAUGUCGAUUACGUGGUUUAAUGGCUUCUUAACGUUUUGAGAUCAUCAUCGCCGUCCAGAUUCGCCAUUACAAGUGAGAUGGAUAACACCGUUUUUUGGUUUGUGUUUGGGAUAACAAAGCUACCUAGGAUUUAAGCGAUUUGCUGCCAUUGAUGGAACUAAUCGGAUAUGAGCCCAUCACCACCGCAACCAUUCAGGAUAAUUUGGAAGCGAGCUGGUUCGUGACUUAUGGGUGUUCUUUUCUCAUUCAUUUAAGCUUUAUUGUCUAAACGUCCGGAGUUGUGCUUGCAUGACUUUCGGUUAGAUGAUAAACUUUCUUGAAAGAAAGAUAUCCCGGAUGCGGUUUAUUGUAUUUCGAUACAAUUCAUCUACGUAUAUGUAGACCUUACAAAAAAAAAAAAAAAAAAAAAAUACCUCAAGGCUCAAGCUUAUAUUUUAUUUUUCAAAAAUCAUAUUAAGCAAGUCCGGGGCUUCGACUACGCUAAUUGUAUUGAUAAGGACUCAACAUUCUACUUAUUUGGAACAUUUGUUGCUUUGAAUUUAGUCCAGAGACCUCAAGUUUAAGACAAUGCAUGCCAAAGACGACACAGAAACUCGACAUGGUUAUACAUUUAACAUUAUCUUUACAAAUUCUUAGAUAGUACAGUAUAAGGUAAAAAACACUUGGGGGCUGUUUGGAUCAUGCGAUUCCAACUUGGGGAACGGGAAUGAGAGUAAGAUUUUGAUACAAAUAUGUAUCAGAAUCUCAUUUUCAUUCUCAUUAACCAGUUUGAUUCUCAUGAUCCAAAUUGCACCCUAGCUUCAUUCCGUUGGGGUGUGUGUGUUUUGGGAAUGCGGAGAAUCUUGCACAAACAAAGUUGAUAGGACACCCAACAAACAAAGGUGAAAUUAUGCACGGUUUUCUGCCUGCGUCGAUAUAUGUCUGUAGCUUGAGUAUUCUGAUCCCCCGUAGCCCGUGUCAAGAAUUUGGUCUGUUGCGAAGAAACUCCACUAUUCGUAGAUUUAUGCACCGCUGAUGAAAGUGAUCCAGAAUACCCAGCUUGAGGCUUCAUGAACAUCUUGAUCAGUUGUUCUGACCAUUGGCCUGAUAAUAAACUCUUUGCUAAGUCAGGAUGUUUCAAAGUUAGCGAGGAAGAAGAGGCUGGUGUUUUAGUAGUUGGCUGCUGUUGUAAAUUUUGUUAUAUGUCUCUAUAAUUAAUUAUAUGUGUCAAUCAUGCGUCUAGGACUCUGUUUCAGGACCGUUUUCACAGCCAAUAGCCGAUAGAAAAUCUGCUCCAUCGGUAUCGAAAGAAAAUAGAAAUUCGAAAGCAGAUUAAGACUUUAAUAUUAUUGCUGAAAGAAGAUUAAAGGAUACACUCUUGCAGCAGGAAACCUUGCUUUGCAGGCAAGGUGUGUUCAUUUGUAUUUAUGUAUUGUUAUUUUUAAAUUCUUUGCUCAUAAAUAGAUCCUCCAUCUUGCAGGCAAAGCAUUCAUUAACAGCUCUUUUGCAUGUCUAUUAUUUUUUGAAUUUAACAAACAAACUGCUUUCUCGCAAUUGGCUAACUCACAAAAUUAAAUUCACUCUGACUCCGCCUUUCUAAUACGUCAAACUUAAAGGCACAAAUUAAGAAAAAAUUGUGUGGAAAAUGCCCUUGG